ensembl:lncRNA
GUUCACACAUCUUUUCUGGAAAUCUGACCCCAGAUUUGAAUCCUGGUCUCUUACCUUUGAUACAACCAAGUCCCGUCUAACAUAACAGAAGUAGACAGUAGAUAUGCUCAGACCCCAGUAACCAUAUUGGCUAAUGAAGAAAGAAGAAAGGUGACAGAAAAAUCCUAUAUAAGGAGAAAAUCCAUGAAAGCCUGAAUUCUGCCAUGAAGUGCAGCUAAAGCUGAUGGCCUGGUACCACCUGCUGUGGUGGCUCACUUUGGCUGCCAGACAUCUAAGGAAUGCCGGCUACCUGCCUGUACUGUGUUGGGAUGAAGAGCACAACAGCAGUGUCCCAGGAAGACCUCUUGAAGCUGGGGUGCCACCACAUAGUACAUGCUUCUGCUCCAGCCUGAGAGGAGUUCUGUUUGCCUAGGAUACUCCACUGUCUUUGACUCUGGAAUUCUCAGAAACUGUACUAGAAAAUCUUACUUUCUGCAAGGGAACAAGGAAUGGACUUGCCAUUUUACCAUCUUAUGUCACCCACUACAGCAAACCCAGUUUUAACUCAGCCAAUGAGGGCUUGUAAAAAUUAAAACAUGCUGAGCAAUCACUAUUAGUGGUAGUGGUUAUUGAGUCAUCCAAAUUUGAACCAGUUUUGUCAAAUACCCAGGAAUGUGCUCAUGUUGACAGAAACAAGGGAUAGUAAUGAUCACAUUUAUUUGUACUGGGCUUUUUAUUUAGGAGAAAAUAAAGCACCCUGUUUCUAACUGGGUCUCCAAGUCGCCUAGAUUGGGUGUUUUUAGGUUCUUAUGCAUCUCUGGAUGGAUGACCCACAUUACUUUAAGAAUUCUGACACUGGAAUCAUGUCCAACGGCAGGUGGCCAGCAGUGCCUACAUACUACAUUUACUACUUAAAACACACUGAGAAAGACAGGCUUGGGGAAAAGAAUGUGAUUGAUCUGUGUUUAAUUAGUAUCUUUAAGGAUGGUGGUUUUUACGCCGGGCAUUGGUGGCGCACGCCUUUAAUCCCAGCACUCAGGAGGCAGAGGCAGGCGGAUCUCUGUGAGUUCAAGGCCAGCCUGGUCUCCAGAGUGAG